rnacentral:rRNA from 1 species
UACGAAGGGGGCUAGCGUUGCUCGGAAUCACUGGGCGUAAAGCGCACGUAGGCGGCUUAUUAAGUCAGGGGUGAAAUCCUGGAGCUCAACUCCAGAACUGCCUUUGAUACUGAUGAGCUUGAGUCCGGGAGAGGUGAGUGGAACUGCGAGUGUAGAGGUGAAAUUCGUAGAUAUUCGCAAGAACACCAGUGGCGAAGGCGGCUCACUGGCCCGUAACUGACGCUGAGGCACGAAAGCGUGGGGAGCAAACAGG